UACGUAGGCAGCAAACGUUGUUCGGAAUUACUGGGCGUAAAGAGUGUGUAGGCGGCUUUGUAAGUUCUGUGUGAAAUCUCCCGGCUCAACUGGGAGGGUGCGCCGAAUACUGCAAGGCUUGAGUACUGGAGAGGAUAGCGGAAUUCCUGGUGUAGCGGUGAAAUGCGUAGAUAUCAGGAGGAACACCGGUGGCGAAGGCGGUUCUCUGGGACGGUACUGACGCUGAGACGCGAAAGCGUGGGGAGCAAACAGG
rnacentral:rRNA from 1 species